rnacentral:rRNA from 1 species
UGAGGAAUCUUGCGCAAUGGGGGCAACCCUGACGCAGCAACGCCGCGUGAGUGAGGAAGGUCUUCGGAUCGUAAAGCUCUGUCGGUUGGGAAGAAACGGCUGGAGGUUAACACCCUUCGGUCUUGACGGUACCAACAGAGGAAGCACCGGCUAACUCCGUGCCAGCAGCCGCGGUAAUACGGGGGGUGCAAGCGUUGUUCGGAUUUACUGGGCGUAAAGGGUGCGUAGGAGGUUGAGAAAGUCGGAUGUGAAAGCUCACUGCUUAACGGUGAAACUGCAUUCGAAACUUCUUGACUCGAGGAUCAGAAAGGAAAGCGGAAUUCUUGGUGUAGCGGUGAAAUGCGUAGAUAUCAAGAGGAACGCCAAUGGCGAAAGCAGCUUUCUGGAGGAUUCCUGACUCUGAGGCACGAAGGCUAGGGUAGCAAACA